rnacentral:rRNA from 1 species
UGCGGGAACCGCGAUAGGGACCCCGAGUGCCAGCAUCAAAUGUUGGCUGUCCAGAUGAUUAAAAAUCAUUUGUUAGCAAGGGCCGGGCAAGACCGGUGCCAGCCGCCGCGGUAACACCGGCGGCCCGAGUGGUAGCCGUUUUUAUUGGGUCUAAAGGGUCCGUAGCCGGCCUGAUAAGUCCUUUGGGAAAUCUGGCAGCUUAACUGUCAGGCUUCUAAGGGAUACUGUCAGGCUUGGGACCGGAAGAGGUAAGGGGUACUCCAGGGGUAGGAGUGAAAUCUUGUAAUCCCUGGGGGACCAUCUGUGGCGAAGGCGCCUUACCAGAACGGGUCCGACGGUGAGGGACGAAAGCUAGGGGAGCAAACCGGAUUAGAUACCCGGGUAGUCCUAGCUGUAAACGAUGCUCGCUAGGUGUCAGACACGGUGCGACCGUGUUUGGUGCCGCAGGGAAGCCGUUAAGCGAGCCACCUGGGAAGUACGGUCGCAAGGCUGAAACUUAAAGGAAUUGGCGGGGGAGCACUACAACGGGUGGAGCCUGCGGUUUAAUUGAUUCCCAACGCCCGGAAA